GGUUAAGCGACUAAGCGUACACGGUGGAUGCCCUGGCAGUCAGAGGCGAUGAAGGACGUGCUAAUCUGCGAUAAGCGUCGGUAAGGUGAUAUGAACCGUUAUAACCGGCGAUUUCCGAAUGGGGAAACCCAGUGUGUUUCGACACACUAUCAUUAACUGAAUCCAUAGGUUAAUGAGGCGAACCGGGGGAACUGAAACAUCUAAGUACCCCGAGGAAAAGAAAUCAACCGAGAUUCCCCCAGUAGCGGCGAGCGAACGGGGAGCAGCCCAGAGCCUGAAUCAGUGUGUGUGUUAGUGGAAGCGUCUGGAAAGGCGUGCGAUACAGGGUGACAGCCCCGUACACAAAAAUGCACAUGCUGUGAGCUCGAUGAGUAGGGCGGGACACGUGGUAUCCUGUCUGAAUAUGGGGGACCAUCCUCCAAGGCUAAAUACUCCUGACUGACCGAUAGUGAACCAGUACCGUGAGGGAAAGGCGAAAAGAACCCCGGCGAGGGGAGUGAAAAAGAACCUGAAACCGUGUACGUACAAGCAGUGGGAGCACGCUUAGGCGUGUGACUGCGUACCUUUUGUAUAAUGGGUCAGCGACUUAUAUUCUGUAGCAAGGUUAACCGAAUAGGGGAGCCGAAGGGAAACCGAGUCUUAACUGGGCGUUAAGUUGCAGGAUAUAGACCCGAAACCCGGUGAUCUAGCCAUGGGCAGGUUGAAGGUUGGGUAACACUAACUGGAGGACCGAACCGACUAAUGUUGAAAAAUUAGCGGAUGACUUGUGGCUGGGGGUGAAAGGCCAAUCAAACCGGGAGAUAGCUGGUUCUCCCCGAAAGCUAUUUAGGUAGCGCCUCGUGAAUUCAUCUCCGGGGGUAGAGCACUGUUUCGGCAAGGGGGUCAUCCCGACUUACCAACCCGAUGCAAACUGCGAAUACCGGAGAAUGUUAUCACGGGAGACACACGGCGGGUGCUAACGUCCGUCGUGAAGAGGGAAACAACCCAGACCGCCAGCUAAGGUCCCAAAGUCAUGGUUAAGUGGGAAACGAUGUGGGAAGGCCCAGACAGCCAGGAUGUUGGCUUAGAAGCAGCCAUCAUUUAAAGAAAGCGUAAUAGCUCACUGGUCGAGUCGGCCUGCGCGGAAGAUGUAACGGGGCUAAACCAUGCACCGAAGCUGCGGCAGCGACACUAUGUGUUGUUGGGUAGGGGAGCGUUCUGUAAGCCUGUGAAGGUGUGCUGUGAGGCAUGCUGGAGGUAUCAGAAGUGCGAAUGCUGACAUAAGUAACGAUAAAGCGGGUGAAAAGCCCGCUCGCCGGAAGACCAAGGGUUCCUGUCCAACGUUAAUCGGGGCAGGGUGAGUCGACCCCUAAGGCGAGGCCGAAAGGCGUAGUCGAUGGGAAACAGGUUAAUAUUCCUGUACUUGGUGUUACUGCGAAGGGGGGACGGAGAAGGCUAUGUUGGCCGGGCGACGGUUGUCCCGGUUUAAGCGUGUAGGCUGGUUUUCCAGGCAAAUCCGGAAAAUCAAGGCUGAGGCGUGAUGACGAGGCACUACGGUGCUGAAGCAACAAAUGCCCUGCUUCCAGGAAAAGCCUCUAAGCAUCAGGUAACAUCAAAUCGUACCCCAAACCGACACAGGUGGUCAGGUAGAGAAUACCAAGGCGCUUGAGAGAACUCGGGUGAAGGAACUAGGCAAAAUGGUGCCGUAACUUCGGGAGAAGGCACGCUGAUAUGUAGGUGAAGCGACUUGCUCGUGGAGCUGAAAUCAGUCGAAGAUACCAGCUGGCUGCAACUGUUUAUUAAAAACACAGCACUGUGCAAACACGAAAGUGGACGUAUACGGUGUGACGCCUGCCCGGUGCCGGAAGGUUAAUUGAUGGGGUUAGCCGCAAGGCGAAGCUCUUGAUCGAAGCCCCGGUAAACGGCGGCCGUAACUAUAACGGUCCUAAGGUAGCGAAAUUCCUUGUCGGGUAAGUUCCGACCUGCACGAAUGGCGUAAUGAUGGCCAGGCUGUCUCCACCCGAGACUCAGUGAAAUUGAACUCGCUGUGAAGAUGCAGUGUACCCGCGGCAAGACGGAAAGACCCCGUGAACCUUUACUAUAGCUUGACACUGAACAUUGAGCCUUGAUGUGUAGGAUAGGUGGGAGGCUUUGAAGUGUGGACGCCAGUCUGCAUGGAGCCGACCUUGAAAUACCACCCUUUAAUGUUUGAUGUUCUAACGUUGACCCGUAAUCCGGGUUGCGGACAGUGUCUGGUGGGUAGUUUGACUGGGGCGGUCUCCUCCUAAAGAGUAACGGAGGAGCACGAAGGUUGGCUAAUCCUGGUCGGACAUCAGGAGGUUAGUGCAAUGGCAUAAGCCAGCUUGACUGCGAGCGUGACGGCGCGAGCAGGUGCGAAAGCAGGUCAUAGUGAUCCGGUGGUUCUGAAUGGAAGGGCCAUCGCUCAACGGAUAAAAGGUACUCCGGGGAUAACAGGCUGAUACCGCCCAAGAGUUCAUAUCGACGGCGGUGUUUGGCACCUCGAUGUCGGCUCAUCACAUCCUGGGGCUGAAGUAGGUCCCAAGGGUAUGGCUGUUCGCCAUUUAAAGUGGUACGCGAGCUGGGUUUAGAACGUCGUGAGACAGUUCGGUCCCUAUCUGCCGUGGGCGCUGGAGAACUGAGGGGGGCUGCUCCUAGUACGAGAGGACCGGAGUGGACGCAUCACUGGUGUUCGGGUUGUCAUGCCAAUGGCACUGCCCGGUAGCUAAAUGCGGAAGAGAUAAGUGCUGAAAGCAUCUAAGCACGAAACUUGCCCCGAGAUGAGUUCUCCCUGACUCCUUGAGAGUCCUGAAGGAACGUUGAAGACGACGACGUUGAUAGGCCGGGUGUGUAAGCGCAGCGAUGCGUUGAGCUAACCGGUACUAAUGAACCGUGAGGCUUAACCUU
rnacentral:rRNA from 1 species